GUUUACCACCAUACCACUCUGAAUAUGCCUGAUCUUGUCUGAUCUCAGAAGCUAAGCUAGCCAGGUCAGGCCUAGUUAGUAGUUGAUA
rnacentral:rRNA from 1 species